rnacentral:rRNA from 1 species
UGGGGAAUAUUGCACAAUGGGCGCAAGCCUGAUGCAGCCAUGCCGCGUGUGUGAAGAAGGCCUUCGGGUUGUAAAGCACUUUCAGCGGGGAGGAAGGCGUUAAGGUUAAUAACCUUGGCGAUUGACGUUACCCGCAGAAGAAGCACCGGCUAACUCCGUGCCAGCAGCCGCGGUAAUACGGAGGGUGCAAGCGUUAAUCGGAAUUACUGGGCGUAAAGCGCACGCAGGCGGUCUGUCAAGUCGGAUGUGAAAUCCCCGGGCUCAACCUGGGAACUGCAUUCGAAACUGGCAGGCUGGAGUCUUGUAGAGGGGGGUAGAAUUCCAGGUGUAGCGGUGAAAUGCGUAGAGAUCUGGAGGAAUACCGGUGGCGAAGGCGGCCCCCUGGACAAAGACUGACGCUCAGGUGCGAAAGCGUGGGGAGCAAACAGG